AUUGAACGCUAGCGGGAUGCUUUACACAUGCAAGUCGAACGGCAGCGCGGACUUCGGUCUGGCGGCGAGUGGCGAACGGGUGAGUAAUGUAUCGGAACGUGCCCAGUAGCGGGGGAUAACUACGCGAAAGCGUAGCUAAUACCGCAUACGCCCUACGGGGGAAAGCAGGGGAUCGUAAGACCUUGCACUAUUGGAGCGGCCGAUAUCGGAUUAGCUAGUUGGUGAGGUAACGGCUCACCAAGGCGACGAUCCGUAGCUGGUUUGAGAGGGCGACCAGCCACACUGGGACUGAGACACGGCCCAGACUCCUACGGGAGGCAGCAGUGGGGAAUUUUGGACAAUGGGGGCAACCCUGAUCCAGCCAUCCCGCGUGUGCGAUGAAGGCCUUCGGGUUGUAAAGCACUUUUGGCAGGAAAGAAACGUCGCGGGCUAAUACCCCGUGGAACUGACGGUACCUGCAGAAUAAGCACCGGCUAACUACGUG
rnacentral:rRNA from 1 species